UUUGAAUCUGGGUUGACUUUCAUGACUUGGUUUUAAUCAACUGAGUGCAGUAGAACUGAUGCUUUAUAGCUUCUGAGGUUAGGUCAGGAAAGGUUAUACACAGGCCCCACUGUUUCUUGGGAUACUUGCUUUGAGGGCAGCAGCUGUCACAUGAGAAGUCCAGUUACCUGAGGCAGCCUGCUGGGGAAGCCAUGCACAGGCAGUUUGUUUAAUGGCCCCAGCUGAGCUCCCAGCAGACAGCCGCAUCAGUUGCCAGCCAUGUGGAUGAGCCACCUUGCAUGCCCAGCCCUGCCAAGCUGGACUGAAGCCAGGUGACUGCAGCCCCAGGGCACAUCUGGCUGCAAUAGCACGAGAGACCCGCACAGAAGAGCUGCUUGUGCUUAAUUGUGAGCAAAAUACAAUGACUGUCUUGACACAGAAAAAAUAAGAAGAUUCAUCUUCAUUGAGAUUAACAAAAUCUUUCUUCUUUUGUGUCGGCAACACGAGGUCUUAGCAGAUCUCUGAUCUUGUGUUGAAGAAAAAUUAUAGCAUUACAAUGGGACACAGAGGCUAAGGGCUUGAACUCAAUUUGGAUUAAUGUGCAGAGCAGCGGGCAUCCUGUGACAAAUGGUAGGAGGGGCUUUGGAGCGGGUGCUGAGAAUCAUCCCCUGGGGACCAAGCCCCAUACGCCCAGCCUAUUGUUCACUCUAAUCUGAGGCCGGUCACUGGGAGGCUGAGCCCACAGUCCAGAUGCUCUGAGCGGCGGGAUUGUGUCAAACUGUCAGCCAGAUGGCUGUGAGGUGCAGCUGUGCAAAAGCAGGAGUGGUAUUGAGCCGGGAUGUUUCCAUACGGAAGCUGGGAUGCUGGUUUAAGCAUUUCACCUCUCUAAGUCUCAGUUUCUCUGACUAUAAACUUGGGUCAAUUAUUUGGAUCCCAAAUUGUCGUCAGCCUGGAGGUACAUGGAAGGGAUCAUGGUGUUCCACCACGGCAAGUACUGCUUGAUUGAAAUAAGAGAGCUGCCCGCAGGCUUGGGUUUCCUCUGAGACUCUGAGGGCAGAGGGGGCUGAACAAGGAGACAGAAAGAACAGGGAGUUCUGGGUGGGUAUAUAAUAG
ensembl:lncRNA